rnacentral:rRNA from 1 species
AAUGAACGCUGGCGGCGCGCCUAAUACAUGCAAGUCGAGCGAGAAGACGUAGCAAUACGUUUGUAAAGCGGCGAACGGGUGAGGAAUACAUGGGUAACCUACCCUCGAGUGGGGAAUAACUAGCCGAAAGGUUAGCUAAUACCGCGUACGCUCCUUGGACUUCGGUUCAGGGAGGAAAGCGAUACCGUGGGUAUCGCGCUCUUGGUUGGGCUCAUGUCCUAUCAGCUUGUUGGUGAGGUAACGGCUCACCAAGGCUUCGACGGGUAGCUGGUCUGAGAGGACGAUCAGCCACACUGGCACUGCGACACGGGCCAGACUCCUACGGGAGGCAGCAGUAAGGAAUAUUGCGCAAUGGGCGAAAGCCUGACGCAGCGACGCCGCGUGGGGGAUGAAGGUCUUCGGAUUGUAAACCCCUUUCGGG